UGAGGAACAUGACCUUCGGCGGGGGAUAGCCGGCCCAACGGCCGGGUAAUACCGCGUACGACCACAUGGGGACAUCCCUGAGUGGUGAAAGCAGCAAUGCGCCGAUGGAGUGCCUCGCGGCCUAUCAGCUAGUUGGUGAGGUAACGGCUCACCAAGGCGACGACGGGUAGCUGGUCUGAGAGGAUGGCCAGCCANAGUUGGGACUGAGACACGGCCCAGACCUCUACGGGGAGG
rnacentral:rRNA from 1 species